UCUGAAGCCAUACAGAUGCAAACUACAUAUAAUUUAUGUGGAAGCUUCUAUUAAGACAGAAGUGUGCUUUCCAGCUAUUUCUCAACACAAGAAAGUGACCUGAAUGAUUCUGAAGCGAUAUCGGCAUGUUGCAAAAAUUUUGGUUUUGAUCUAUAGUCAUCUUUUUCUGACUAAAGGCGUAUCACUCAUCACCAGAAGAUACUGCUUUCUUGGUUCCACACAUGCUCUGAACUGACAGCAACUAAGCUGGAUGCUAUGAAAUACUCGAUACUAAUAUCAAAACAUUGGAAAUCUAAGUAUACAUUCAACUUCUUAAUCAAAUUAAAUAGCAAGAACACGGCAUUUUCUAAUCAUUUUUAUUCUUGUAGAAGGCAAAUUUUCAGUAAGCUGUAAGGAGGCAAACCACGAUCAUCUGUAAAUAUCUAUCAAAACAGAAGCGGCGUAUCCAGCUAUUUCUCAAUACGCGAAAUGGCGAAAUUGAUGCCAUUCCGAGAUCAACUUCUGCAACUAUAGUGUCUGAAGAAAUCGGUCGAUGGAGAAUGAAUCUAACGUGUGACAGCCUUCUGCAAGUCCUCCUCACUACUAAAAUGUUGCUCUGCUAUAAGCCUCUUCAAGUACACGAACAGAACGAGAAAUGUCGGGUGUCUGUUAAGAACACGCUUUCAUCGAAGUGAUCUCGGCAUAAGACAAUACCUGGACCCUUCAUCAAGCGCAUAUUGGAGUGCGGAAGCUGCACUUUUCUAUUACGGACGAAGACUAUAUUUGAAUUUAUAUUAUCAAUAUGUUCACAAGCAAAUCUAGAAAAGAACUAAUUGACUCAAUGGAAGAAACGGAUAUUGUAAAUACAGCGACAUAACAAAUUUGAUGGAACAAAACCUAGAUUUAAUUUUCGUGGUGCCUUCCUCUAUAAAUUGCAUUUGAGAACAUAUUUAUUACCGAAUUUGCUAAGAAUUGUUUGACAUGACAGAUUGCCACUAUACAAUUUUAAAAAUCUUGAAUUUCAUUACUGUAAUCUUUUUAGCCAUUAUAUCGGCAGAAUUUCUUUCCAUUUACAAACCAAUUUUAUUAAUAAAACUGCACCACUUCGUUGUAACUGAAGCCAUUUCUUGACCUUGCUUAUUUCUAAAACUUCAUUUAGUAAUUUUGAAUGACGAUUAUUAAAGAAUAGUUCAUGUUCGAAUAAGUGUUUCAUUCCUGUAUUUAUAACGAAGUUUGUGUGGAUUGCUUUUGUGAGGAUUUUGAUCUCUGUAAUGCUAGUAUCAACUAUGUAAAGGAAUUUCUUUAAAUUUCCGUUAGUUAUCAAACUCGAAAUCUUGAUAAUCAGAGCUUCAAUCUAAAAGUUCAGAAUUGUACAAAAUAUAAUAUGUGACGUUUAAUAUGUACUUGUGUUUGAUUAAUUUAUGAAAUAUUCCUUAAAGGAAAAAAUGCUUCUGUAUUAUGUAUACGAGGUAGAAAGAUGCAUUGGUAACAAAUAUAUUGGUUUUUCUAAUCUUUUGAAAUGAGGUUGAAAGUAUUGCAGUUUUUCUCUAAAUUAAAUCUUGUAUUGGCAUACAUAAAAUAAUCCCGAGUUUUGAAAAAUAAUUCAAGUGCAUAGAAGUAUUCUUAAUCGCAUUUCAAAGUCUUUAAACAAAUUUUUAAUUUGAAUGCUUGCGAACAAUUUUUAUAUUAAAGAUAAUGUAAUUCUUGUAUUGUAAGAUUUUUUUGCAUGCAUUGUCUUCAUCUUAAAUUCUAGUAAUUGUUUUUAGGUUAAAAUUUUAAAGAUAGUUAAAAUUUAAUUAUUGCAUAUAAGUUAAGUUUCAGAAAUACUUUACCUUGGUCU